GAGUUUGAUCCUGGCCAGAUUGAACGCUGGCGGCAUGCCUUACACAUGCAAGUCGAACGGUAACAGGUCUUCGGAUGCUGACGAGUGGCGAACGGGUGAGUAAUACAUCGGAACGUGCCCGAUCGUGGGGGAUAACGGAGCGAAAGCUUUGCUAAUACCGCAUACGAUCUACGGAUGAAAGCAGGGGACCGCAAGGCCUUGCGCGGACGGAGCGGCCGAUGGCAGAUUAGGUAGUUGGUGGGAUAAAAGCUUACCAAGCCGACGAUCCUGUAGCUGGUCUGAGAGGACGACCAGCCACACGUGGACUGAGACGACGGCCC
rnacentral:rRNA from 1 species